GAUUUACGACUGUCAUUGCGACGCGACGCGACGCGACCGAGCGAAGAGAUUAACGUUAUACGAGCGCGCGCCGCUCCGGCGAAGACGCGAAAGCGACAGUAGUCGCGCGAGCCAACAUUAACAUUCGCCCGGCACGCUCAGUCCGCCCCGGGAACCCGUUUAAAUUGGUCGCAUUAUGCGAGAGCGUACCGUCGACUCGCCGCCGCCGGGCGGAAAAGCACGCGGCCUCGAUUCGCGCCGUGAAAAACGCAGCCGGCUGAAAUGCGCUAACUAACGAGUGACUCCUGUUAACGUCCUUCUCCGUCUCUCUUUCGCCCCCUCCCGUGAUAUAUCGGCGACGUUCACGGACAAGCGGCGUGUCUCUCCAUUUUCGCGGAGCAUUCGCGGACAACUUGGAUCCCCCCCAUCGUCAAGCGAGACAACCCGAAUAAUUUGGAAUAACUGAACGGAAUGCAACAUCUGACGAACUUCAAUCCCCAUCCGCAAGGGAGGUUUACCAUGCAAUGAUAACAGAAGCGCGCGCGCAGAUUCGCGGGCGGGCACAGUGAACAACGAAUGUGCGGCGUAAUCGCGUUCGCGUUGCGCACGAACUUUCCUUGAUAAAUCGCCUGGUGGGCGAAUCGGCCUGAACGCGAAUCGCGAAUGUGCUGUUCGAAUUCGUUACGCAUUUUCCGAAUCGUAACGAAGCGAAAGUUCGCGUACUCGGCUCGUCCGCUAUUCGCUCGUUCGCGCACGCUAACUUUCGCAUGAUAUGAUCUCGGUUUUACGGACAGUUGAACUAAUAUAAGGAAAUGGCGGAUAUCCCUCGGACACGCCGAAGCGGACAUCGUCGAGCCGUCGCCGUCGUUUUGCGCGAAAUACGUUUCCCCUCUUUUUCGUUUUCGUCGUUUCACCUAACGUCGCUCGCGCAUGCAUUUAGAAGCGCACCGCAGACACAUUUCGACGAGGUAUCGGAUUUUCGCGACGCCCUGCUGAAAUUCUGCUGAAAAGUUAUUUGUCGUUUCGGCUUACUUAUUCGCAAUUCAUACGUCGCCGCCGCCGCCGCCGUCGCCGCGCUCCGAAUCGACUUUUAUACGGUCGAUAUGCACGCACCGGUAAUGUUACGCACAUGUCGGUGUGCGAGAUUUUUUCCUCUUUCGAUUACAUCUCCCGUGCAGCUUUCCAUGCGAGAAACUCGAUUUUCAUGCAAACUCGCAGAAUCCUCAAAGCGAGGCAUUCAGCCAAAUGUACGCUGGGAUAUUUACGACGGAUAAUUAUGAAGCUCGCGAAUAGGAAAAUUUUUUAAGUGAUGAAAAAACCGCUACCUCGGAGCCCCGUGUUUUCAGGAGAUUUCGCAAACGCAGCGCGGACGAACUGCAACGAUGGGGGAGAAGUUGCACAGGGAGAAAAAGAAGAAGCCGUUAGGAGGCCGGCCGGCGAUUAUUAAUCAUUCGAUGCGCGUUGCACUCGAUUAACACUACAAUGUUCGAGUGGUCUAUGUAUACGCAAGCUUAUCACAAAAGUUCGUCCUCCAGCUCCAGCGGGUCCUCGGAGGAAUACCGCGAUAUUUUCGCGGGGAAUCAUUUCCUGCAGAACCGCGCGCGCGCUCGCCACUGCGCGCGUCGGGCUUUCCGGGCUGUCGAGUGCGAGCGAACUUUCCGGCGGGAAGGCAACAUUGAUUCAGAAAUGAAUUGUUCGUAUCACCGGCCUUGCGCUAAGCACAGAGAUAAGCCUGGUAAACGAGUAGCAAUUACCGUACUCGUGGCUACCGCCGCUCGCUGCAUUCGCGGUUAAUCGUCACUGCUGAUGACAAUAUACAGAGUGCCGCGUAAUCAUCCAGCGCCUUUCCGAAUAUAUUUAAUUACGAAAUGGAUUCGGAGGAACGGCAGGGCGCUCGUAUCCGAUAAAAAAUAAUUAUACGUGAAAUUACAUAUGAAAAUUUUAUCUUCGUAUGGACGUAUCUAAGCACACAUAUAAUUACACAUGUCCGCACUGGAAAAAAUGUUGUUGUACGAAAAUACAGUCAAAGUAAGUUGC